rnacentral:rRNA from 1 species
UACGUAGGGACCGAGCGUUAUCCGGAUUCAUUGGGCGUAAAGAGCUCGUAGGCGGCUAUUCAAGUCGAACGUGAAAUCUCGGAGCUCAACUCCGAGCCUGCGUUCGAUACUGGGUAGCUAGAGUCUGGUAGGGGGAUCUGGAAUUCCUGGUGUAGCGGUGGAAUGCGCAGAUAUCAGGAGGAACACCGGUGGCGAAGGCGGGAUCCUGGGCCAGUACUGACGCUGAGGAGCGAAAGCGUGGGGAGCAAACAGG